rnacentral:tRNA from 1 species
GGAGAGCUGCCUGAGCGGUUGAAAGGGCACGACUGGAAAUCGUGUGUGCGCCUUGAAAGCGUACCUAGGGUUCGAAUCCCUAGCUCUCCGCCA